AUUCACUUCUGCGUUCUCUCUCUCUCUUUUUUCUUAACUUUUUAUUCUUUUCAUAAAUCUUGUUGCCCCAAACUCAGAUUUGUGGAGCCUCUCAGUUUAAAUGACUAAUGGACUAGCUGUAGUUUUUGAGUCCCUAUUCCAAAUUAUUGAAGGAACAAACAAAGUUCUCUGGCUUGCACCCACAGUCCACUCUGGUUUCAGCCAUCUCUAGCCUGGCUCAGCAGGCCUGGAGGGAUGAUGCUGUCGACUCGUAGGCCAUGAGUUCCACUCCUUAAUGGGCAGGUAGGAGCAACUAUGAUGACAAGCUAGGCCCAGAGAAGAGGACAUGAGCCAGGCCAGCACCACAGAUUCUGAGGAUAAUGCAUGGACGUCUCUGAGGAGGCACUCUUCUGCCCAUCAUGCACUGUGCUGAGGGAAGCCAGAUGACAAGAUAAACAGAUACAUGAAUUGCAUGCAUUUCUGUAUAUAUGUGCAUUUGUAUACAUACAUAACUUCACAUCAAGAAAUGCAUAUUGACAGAAGCAAAGAAAAUGCUGUAAUGGAGAAUAAAAUGGAGAACAAGUCUGUUGGAAGAGGAGACAUCUGUGCUGAGAACUGAAAGAGAAUACAAUCUCUCUUCCAAUUUCUCUUCUCUAAGAAAAUAGCUUUAUGGUUUAUACUCAUAAGAUUGUUUUGAGGAUUGAAUGAUGUGAAUGAUGUAAAUGAUGUAACAAUUUUUACAGAACAUCUAGUAGUAUCACUGAUGAUUCCCCAAUGCUUACAAUAGUUUCUUCACAGCGGUGGCUGCAGAACAGCGGUGGCUGUAGAACAGCGGAUUUUGGUGACCCGCAAAUGCUGCUGCCUGAUCAUUCCUCUGGAAGUUUUGUCUCAGAGGAGUACCCAGCCGUG
rnacentral:lncRNA from 1 species